UACUAGCAGUUAGUACGGCAGUUAGAGAGCCAACGGACCUGCGACGUCGACGGAUGCGGAGCAGCCAAUGCCAGCGCUGGCAGCUGUAAACGGCCGGAGAUAUGUUUAAAGUAGACAGAGUUGUGGAUCUUCAAGAGUCUGGAAUCCACUGUAACAAACACACAGAAACACACACAUACACACACACGGACGAGGGGGAGGGGACUGUGGCCCCGCACGUCCCUCUCCUCCCGCUAGGGGGAGAGUACUUCGGCGGUAAUUCCUGUUGAGGUAUACGGUUAGGUGCCCCUGGCCAGCGUCAGGCAUGGAUCGAUAUGUAACAUACAGACACACAUACAGACGCAAAAUCGUGAUAUCAUUCAUUCACGUCAUGUACUGCGCUAAAACCGUUUUUGCGAGAAAUGGUGGGCUGUCCGUCAGCGUCGCUUAAGCAAUUCUCUCUGCUAUCCAACUGUCCACGGUGAUCAACGCACAACGCCGGCAUCAUUGCGGGAUUUGUGAUGCGCCACGCGCCCAGUAGGCGGCUUCGGCGCCGGACGGCGUCAUACCUAGCCCGGAACGGUCCUAUUGCGGCAAAGCUUUCAGAAGCGAAAAGCUAAAAAAUCUGAAUCUGAAUAAAAAUGAUCCUUCUACUGAUUUGAUAAGAUAACCAAGAGCCGCAGCUGCAAUUCCAUAACCUUCCCCCCCCAAAAAGAUAACUUUAAUAUAGGCGAAGACGCUAGUAGCAUCAUUCUCAUGGGCUGAGUUCCUCCCCAACGACAAUGUAAGUGAUCAGCGGGGGGGGGGCGGCACAGUAAUUCCUACCUGGUGUAGAAUGUGGAGAAGCGGAGCAUCACCCGAGCAGGGUUCGACACUGACCUUCCUGAAACUUGCGGGAUCCCCCGUACCUCCCAAAUUUUCCUUACGGAGGGGCCCCCGUACCAGGCUCCUGUACUGGCCGAAAAC
rnacentral:lncRNA from 1 species